UAAACCCGUAUUGAUGAUUGAUUGCAAGUCCUCUUUAUGUAAAAAAAGAUUAUCUUUAGAGGCUUUUGUGUGUCCUGUUUUUGUCUAUGCUAAUCUCUGGGAACACGUGUUUUUGUUGGUUGCUAGUCUUUUGUUGUUCAUAUCACAUUCAUUCUUCUUUAUGAAUAAAAUACUGAUCACCUAACAUGUUAGCCCACAAAGAUUAAAAAGACUUGUCUAUCGUUUUCAUGAAUCUAGAGUUCCGAUAACGUUUGGAUUCUAUUGCUUUUCUGAAUCAUGACUCAGUACACUCUAAGAUUCUGUUUCUUGAUUUCAGCAUUCUCUUACACCAACUCCAUUCCUGAUUAUUUUAUUUCUCAUUCGGAAUUUGUAUUAUCCUGGCCUUUUAUCAUCGAGAACAGGACAAGAGUCUACUUAUAAUUAUCAUGUGAUCAACAAUUUGUUAAUUUCUGAUUUAGUCUAAUAAUUGUUUCAAUUAAUAGGAGCUGUUUGUGGAUCUGCAAGCCUUAUGAACUCUAUG
rnacentral:lncRNA from 1 species